rnacentral:rRNA from 1 species
CCUACGGGUGGCAGCAGUGGGGGAUAUUGCACAAUGGGGGGAACCCUGAUGCAGCGACGCCGCGUGGGUGAAGGAGUGCUUCGGCAUGUAAAGCCCUAUCGGCAGGGAAGAAGCAAGACGGUACCUGACUAAGAAGCCCCGGCUAACUACGUGCCAGCAGCCGCGGUAAUACGUAGGGGGCGAGCGUUAUCCGGAUUCACUGGGUGUAAAGGGAGCGUAGGCGGCCAUGCAAGCCAGGGGUGAAAGCCCGGGGCCCAACCCCGGGACUGCCCUUGGCACUGGGCGGAUAGAGUGCGGGAGGGGCAGGCGGAAUGCCUGGUGUAGCGGUGAAAUGCGUAGAUAUCAGGAGGAACACCGGCGGCGAAGGCGGCCUGCUGGACCGCGACUGACGUUGAGGCUCGAAAGCGUGGGGAGCGAACAGGAUUAGAUACCCCUGUAGUC